ACCAACUGUAUCUAAGAUAUGUGUUAUUGGAUUGUGAAGCAAUGCAAUAAAUGGGAGCCACAGUGCAUCCACCAGGAAUACCAGCUGGUGCCCACAGGACAGCUGGAAUUGACCUCAGCACCCACUGGACUGAGCUGUGCCAGAAUUCAGCUGGUGUUUCUACUCUUGUAGCUAGAUUUUAUGGAGGUGUCAGGAUCUUGCCUGCAGCAGGAGAAAUACUGAGGAACCUGCUUUGCCUCGGCUGGAUAUGGUCUCUACAUCAGGGAGACAGGAUGCCAGGAAACGUCGAUUUUCCUGCUCCUCGGAUGCUGCCUGACCUGCUGUGCUUUUCCAGCACCACUCUAAUCUGGACUCUGAUCUGCAUCUGCUGUCCUCACUUUUGCCUAGACUAUUGAUAAGUAAGGUGGAAUUUUUACCUCUGUU